rnacentral:rRNA from 1 species
UACGUAGGCAGCAAGCGUUGUUCGGAAUUACUGGGCGUAAAGAGUGUGUAGGCGGUGCUCUAAGUCUGUUGUGAAAUCUCCCGGCUUAACCGGGAGGGUGCGGCGGAAACUGGAGUGCUUGAGGGUGGGAGAGGUAAGCGGAAUUCCUGGUGUAGCGGUGAAAUGCGUAGAUAUCAGGAGGAACACCUGUGGUGUAGACAGCUUCUGGACCACUUCUGACGCUGAGACACGAAAGCGUGGGUAGCAAACAGG